AGUGAACGCUGGCGGUAGGCCUAACACAUGCCAGUCGAACGGCAGCAUAGUAAGAGCUUGCUCUUACGGGUGGCGAGUGGCGGACGGGUGAGGAAUACAUCGGAAUCUACUUUUUCGUGGGGGAUAACGUAGGGAAACUUACGCUAAUACCGCAUACGACCUACGGGUGAAAGCAGGGGAUCUUCGGACCUUGCGCGAUUGAAUGAGCCGAUGUCGGAUUAGCUAGUUGGCGGGGUAAAGGCCCACCAAGGCGACGAUCCGUAGCUGGUCUGAGAGGAUGAUCAGCCACACUGGAACUGAGACACGGUCCAGACUCCUACGGGAGGCAGCAGUGGGGAAUAUUGGACAAUGGGUGCAAGCCUGAUCCAGCCAUACCGCGUGGGUGAAGAAGGCCUUCGGGUUGUAAAGCCCUUUUGUUGGGAAAGAAAAGCAGCAGGUUAAGACCCCGCUGUUCUGACGGUACCCAAAGAAUAAGCACCGGCUAACUUCGU
rnacentral:rRNA from 1 species